rnacentral:rRNA from 1 species
CCUACGGGUGGCAGCAGUGAGGAAUAUUGGUCAAUGGGCGCGAGCCUGAACCAGCCAAGUAGCGUGAAGGAUGACUGCCCUACGGGUUGUAAACUUCUUUUAAGGGGGAAGAGCAGAAGACGGUACCCCUUGAAUAAGCCACGGCUAACUACGUGCCAGCAGCCGCGGUAAUACGUAGGUGGCAAGCGUUGUCCGGAUUUACUGGGUGUAAAGGGCGUGCAGCCGGAGAGGCAAGUCAGAUGUGAAAUCCGCGGGCUCAACUCGCGAACUGCAUUUGAAACUGCUUCCCUUGAGUAUCGGAGAGGUAAUCGGAAUUCCUAGUGUAGCGGUGAAAUGCGUAGAUAUUAGGAAGAACACCAGUGGCGAAGGCGGAUUACUGGACGACAACUGACGGUGAGGCGCGAAAGCGUGGGGAGCAAACAGGAUUAGAUACCCGGGUAGUC